GAUGGGCAUGGAGGUGCGUGCCUGUAAUCCCAUCUGUUCUGGAGGCUGAGGCAGGAGAAUUGUGAGUUCAAAGCCAGCCUCAGCAAUUUAGUGAAGCCUAAGCAGUUCAGUGAGAUCUUGUCUCUA
rnacentral:sRNA from 1 species